GUUUACUGCAACUAGAAGCGUCAGCGGCUAAAUUGCCAUCACUAGAAAUCUUAGACAAAGGGAGGGAGAGCUUCAUUCGAAGAUGACGCGGAGGUGUUGGCCAUUCAGCGGAUUUGGCGUCGAGUAGGAGUCGCGAAUAGAAAUGGUGAACCAAAUGAACAAUAAAAAGAAAGGAUGGGACGGUUGGAUUCGUCAGGAGUUUAUAGGCCAUCAUCAUCACGGAGCAAAGCGGUUGACCACAAAUGGUAGUACUUCAGUUUAGGCAUAGGUAUCAGAUUGUUUAUUUAGGAACGCUGUCGUGGGCUCCACGAAAAUGUCAGUUGCUGUUUGGGUCGUUGACAGGUAAUUCUUAAAUCGCGUGAAUAUGGCCUCGUGUUUAGGUAUCCUGCAAGAGCUUUGCAUUUCCAUGAAUUAUUUCCAGAUGAUGGAUGCCAAGUGAACAGGACUAUUGGUAGAUUUCGCUUCAAAGCCAAUAGCUAACAUUGUACUAGUAGUUCUGUGUAAUAGAUCAGCAAGCGUAGGAAAGUUGGUAAGAGAAUAGACAGGUGCAAUUUUUCAGGUCUACUCUCACGAAUCGUGUAAUUGAGUCAAUCGAAUUACUUUACCUAGAGCUCUUCAGUAUUGCCCAACUUGUUUUUUUUAUUCCCAAUCAGAAGAUUUAACAGAAAUUACACAAUUACACCUUCAUGUGCGAUGUAAUGAAAAGUUCCAACUAGGUAGUCAACGUUCGACCGAUGCUAGGAGCGACAGCCACUAGCCAAAUAAAUCAAAAAUUCAGAAUAACGCGAGUUAAUUUUUAUGGAGAAUUGUUUGUCGUGCCAUUGAUCUGUUUUCGCAAAUUUUCAACUGUAGUUGUAACAUUGGCCAACUGCUUUUUGAUGAUUCCAAUCUCGGUGUGCGCCCGAGCCAAAUCGACUUUCGCGUCUGUAAAGAGUUGAGAUCGCGAUUUAUCUGCUGCAUUUCGGGUUAAAUUUGUUGUUUAUUUGCUUCUUACCCAACAUCGCCCCCACGAAUGCUGUCCAGAGAGAUCCUAACGUGUUUAAUGUAAUCUGAACGUCUUGGACAGAAAACUGCCUCUGAUUGCUCAUGAUUUGAAUGAUUUCCGAGAUCGUCUGGGGUUGGGCCUCCUCCUUUACGGAGGAAGGAUUACCUUUGUUCAAACCGGUCGGUAGCUGAGCAGAGGCCAACAAAACGUAGGCCAUCAAAGGCACAAAGACUACAAUAAUCUAAAUGUUUGGUUCAGUAAGAAAUACAGGUGGAACAGCACUGACGCGUACGAACAGUUAACUUGUAACAAUCUAAAUUGACUUACCGAGUGCUCCAUGGUUUGUUGAUUGACGAGGAUUGAUGAACAACUGAGGAGAUGGUCUUCUUUAUAUAGUGCGGGUUAUGCCAUGGUUUAUUCGAUAAUUAAAAUCAGCUGGAAGACAGGUUACGCAAAUGUGUCACGACACAUGCAAUAUUCCAUUUACGUGCUAUCUGAACGAACUGAUGAAAUUGUCCAUUUAAAAACUCGCAAAUUGAUCCACACGCAAUUUGCUUUAAAUGGAAGGAAAUUUUUAUCAAUUCAGAAUUAAAUUUAAGUUUUAAUUUAAUUGAUGUCUUUUAAUUGAUUUUCCUUUUAGGUACGAUUGAAGUUAAGCCGUGGCAAUGUUUUCGAUGUGCGAUUUGGUCACCGUUUUUGCGUCAUCUUUUUAAAUCGACGCAAGUGCUGCAGGCGCUGGGUUUCGUAAAUUCAAAUUCAAUUAUCCAAUCGUCUCUUGAAAUCCAAUCGUUGCAAUUGAAAUGGACUAAGCUACCGGGUCUCGUGCUCCGUCAGGCACAUUUUUUUCUUCUGUGGUGUAUUCUGGAUAGAAAAUCAAGUUGCAGGAAUAUGAAAUUGAACGCAAUUAAAUCGUUGAAUUUUGUUUUCUUUACGAGUUUGAAAUUCGCGCUGUAGUUGUGACAGGAUGUCAGACUGCCAGACUUCCCUCAGUUUCAAAGUGAAUUUGAGUUUGUUUUGAAAUCAGUGCCAAAGUGGGACCACCGUCAGCGGCUGCAGCCGCGCUAGUGAUCACGCAAUGACGCGAGUGGUUUUAUUUUUCAAGUGAUCCAAUCUAACUUUUUGUUAUUUCCUUUAUAGCUUUGCCGCUCUUCGUUCUUUCCCGUAAGGUUACUGCAACUACAAGCGUCAGCGGCCAAAUUACCAUCGCCUGAAAUCUUGGACAAAGGGAGGGAGAGCUUCAUUCGAAGUGUCAAGUCCAGCACCGUUCUAAUAGCCAGAAAGUUACGACUAAGUGCAACAUUCUUCAAAGUACAGCAGUUGCUUUGUGCAAAGCGUGAAUCUUGUCUUGUCUUUUGAGAACACAGCACAUGGUCACAUUUAGCUAUCAAUCAAAGGCACUUGCUACCGGAAUUCUCCACAAACGGAAUUGUCAGCCCGGUUAAAUGGAAGCUGUUUGGCUGUUUGCUGUUUUAUGCAGAUCAUUUUUACUUGCCACCUUGCUAACUGCAUAAAUUGGGAAAGCUGCCUUAUUUGCACAUUUACAGCAGCUUGUUAGUUGUUUUUGCUUUAUGUCUGAUUUGUUCAUAGUUUUUCCCACUGUUUGUUUGUUUGAGGUAUGACUAAAAUCGCCUGUGGUGUCGCAGUCCGAUGUGCUGAUGUUGAUGCCUGCCUAUUCCCUGGUUUAAGAAGUACUUAGACAAAAUCGAUUUUACGAUGGUGGUUAUCUUUCCGUUUUUGUUUCGUGUUCUCAUUAAGUGUGUUCUCUAUGUGUCGCUAUGCAAGUGAUUUGAGCAAGAUGUUUGUUUUGUUUGUUACAUUCGCGUCUUCUCGGUAGAAUUUAUUAUGGGUUAGUUCAAAUGAGAAUGGAAAAUUAUUGCGACAUGUUAAUAUGAGACAAGUUCGUAUGAAGCACUUAUCUAUAUGAUAAUGGGUGUAAUAAACUAAGUUACGCUUAAAAAAUUACUUGAUCUUGCGCGUAAUAACCUAGAAUAUGUGGUAGGUGGGAAACUGGGAAUGUGAGAUAAAAUUACAUGUUAAUGGUAAGAAACCAUUUGAGCAUUUUGAUGUAUGUAAU
rnacentral:lncRNA from 1 species